ensembl:lncRNA
UUUUUUUUAUUUUUUUUUUUUUUUUUUUUUUUUUGCCUUUUGCCUUUUCUAGGGCCGCUCAUGUGGCAUAUAGAAAUUCCCAGGCUAUGGGUCUAAUCGGAGCUAUUGCUGCCAGCCUACGCCAGAGCCACAGCAAUGUGGGCCCCAAGCCACAUCUGCGACCUACACCACAGCUCACGGCAACGCCGGAUCCUUAACCCACUGAGCAAGGCCAGGGAUUGAACCCGCAACCUCACGGUUCCUAGUCGGAUUCGUUAACCACUGAGCCAUGACAGGAACUCCCCGGGAGAAAAGUCUUGAGAAAGUUUCACAGCAAAAUUGUUAAGUUUCUGGGCACAGGAGUCAGGCUGUCUGAGUUUGAGUCCUGGCUCUGCUAACUGGAUCUUGACGUUCAUCUCUGUGAAGCCCAGUUUCCUCAUUUGCAAUAUGAGGCGGAUGAGAGUACUUAUUUCACAGAGUUACCGUGAGGUUUGAAAUAUAUAAUGUACUUAAAGUACUUGGAAUGCCAGGCAUUACACUGAUAAACCUUGUGCUUGACAUUCUCACCGAUUUUCUGCAAGCAGCCAGCACAAAGAAUCUGUUUGGGUGUUUCAAAACAAAGAUAGAGUCUACCUCACCCAGACAAUUUUUGCAUCAUUCUUCCAUCAUUCAGUUCCUUUUUUUUUUUUUUUUUUUUUAGUCUUUUUAGAGCCACACCUGCAGCAUAUGGAAAUUCCCAGCCUACGGGUCGAAUCAGAGCUACAGCUGCCGGCCUACACCACAGCCAUAGCAACACAGGAUACGAGUCAUGUCUGUGACCUACACCACAGCUCACAGCAAAGCCAGAUCCUUAACCCACUGAGCGGGGCCGGGGAUCAAACCUGCAUCCUCAUGGAUAUUCAUCGGGUUCAUUGUGUCCGGAGCCACAACAGGAACUCCUCAUCAUUCAAUUCUUACUUAUUGAACACCUACGAGAAGCAGGAUUUUGUAAAAAGUAUAAAAGACACAAAGAAUAGCAUGGAGAGCUACCCUGUCUUGAAGGAAUAUAAAAACUAAGCAGGCCCGAUAAGACACAGUGUCAAGGAAAAACUGCAUGACGCAGUGAAGAGGGGUGCCUAUAAGGUCCCACAUCAUUUAGGAUUAGGUUGGGGAAAACCCCAAAUGAUGGUGACUGAAGCAAGGUGAAAAUAUAUUUUUCCCUUCUAUAAUCAAAGUCAAGGGAUAAGCAGUCCAGGCUGACGUUUGUGGCUCAGUAACUGUGAAGGGCCACCUUCAACACAUGGCUCUACCCCAUUACCCAAAAUGUCAUCCCAGCUCCAGCCUGGUCAUCCUCUUCUGCAUCCUCAUCACCAUCUUCCUCGCCAGAGCCACACUUAGAGGGCACACACCGCACACUACGUGCCAGGGGCCAUUCCAUCACUCUUCAAAUAUCAUGGGAUCCUCACAAUAGCCCUGUUACGGCAAUAUUAUUUUUACUCCUGUUUUACUACUAAGAAAACUGUGGCACCAGAGGGUUCAUAACUAGCCCAAGGUCACACCCCUAGGUGGCAGAGCUAGGAGGAUUUCAGCUCAUCCGGCUCCGGAGUCCAGCUACUAGGAAGAGGCGAAGAAGGGCAUUCCCUGCCCUUUAAUGACAUUUUGGUCAGACCUGAGUCACACGGUCAUAUCUGAUUGCAAGGGAAGGCGGGAAACAGUUGUUAUUCAGGGCAGCCCAAGCUGGGAGUUCUUUCACUCAGAAAGACGAGGAAAUACAUACUGGGGGCUGAUUUAUGGGGAGUAUGGAUCCCCAUAAAUUCCUCCCCUCUGGUCCUGGUUGACCCCUCCCUAGCAAUAAUCCUGUAUUACAUGACCCCUCCCUCUGCCCUUCCCCAAGAGUGACUGGUCAGAGCUCCUGAACUGGGACAAGGAGAGGGAUUGCAUCUUGCUGUGUUGGGCAGCGGCCUCUAUCCUCCAGGACGGUGGGCAGCAGAAUUCAGCCAAGUCUUCAGGGUGACAGUCUACAAAGACGAAGCUUAAGUGUCUCUAUAUAAUAUAUAAUGCACUUGAAGUACUUGUUCUUGGCGAGAAUGUGGCCCAUGAAAUGUCUCUAGCUGCUAAUGCCAGUACUCCCUAAGGUGCUGUAGCAUUUCCACCCUUGGGUACUAGAAACCCACCAGAGGCUUGUGAUAAAAAUCCCCUUGUUUGCCCCACCGGGUUUCUGACAAUCACCCAACUGCCACCAAAGAAUUCCAACUCCGUUACCAGGCAAAUCCGGUAAGUGCUGCCAGAAGUGUCAACAAAAAUGCUACGGAGGAGCUCCUGCUCCUGCAAUGGGAUCAGCAGCAUCUUAGGCUGGAGCUGCACCUCUGAGGUCAUACGUGCAGCAUGAUUUCUGGAGCUGUGGGUACAGAUGACACCCCCAGGAGGGAGACCCUUGACUAGAACCUGGUGGGAGGCAGGAGCAUCAGGAGUCAGAAGGAGCUGGGAAUCAGCCAGCUCCAUGGCCAGAGGAUAGUCAGGAAAGCGUGCUCUGGAAGCCCAGAACACUCUCACAAGGAGGAAGACAGGGCACUCGGUGGGCGCCAAGCAUGUGGGGGUUGGAGAGCAGGAGGUGGGCCAGAGCUGCUGCUUUCCCACACCCCAGUGGGGGGCCAGGCUUCAGCUCCCUGCAGGCCCAGCCCUGUUAGCGCUUCCACCAGCCUCCCUGUUGCCCUGGAAAGGGCUCCAGCACUGGGGCUGCGCAGAGUCCAAUCAUUCAGAUUUAUGAUGGAAAAUGGCCCCAGGGACUGGGGCAAUUUACUGCUCACAAGCGAAUUCCAACUUGUCCAUGAAAGUACCUCAUUCCGGUCCCAACACCCAGGCAUGUUCACACCUCCGGUGAGGAGUCAGGCCUGCCCAGAUGAUUAGCGUGUGGGAUGGGCUCUGUGGGAGCAGCACGACCUCUAAAGGCAGCCGGGACAGCCUUCAGAGCCGGGCUGCUCCAUCCCACCCAGCCCUGGAGAGAGCGAGCAAGGCCCCGCAAUAAUCCCCAGCUCCAGCUGGCCCUGGACGGGCAUUUACUGAGCAGGCAGAACCCACCAGAGAGUCAUGGACGAGUGGGCUGACAGGGGACUGGAGAGCAAGGCUUUGCCAUCAGGCCCUGGCUCUGCUGGUUAAGACCUUGAGCAAGCUCCUUGGCCUGAGAAGGUUUCCUCUUCUGCAGAAGGGGAUCGAGUCCCACCUUGGGAGGGUGUUGGGUGAUUAAAUAACUUGUGUGAAGCACGAGCCCUGGGGGUACGGCACGCAUUGGCAAACCAGCGUGAUUAUCAUUCCCAACCAGCCCUGCAGUCUGAGCUCUUCCCCCAAAGCAUGAUGAGAGGAGGGGGGUUACUGGGGCGGGGGGCGGUUACAGGACAAGAACUGCUAAGCCAUUUCCCCUCCUCUCAUGUCUGUCUUCUUCCGGGAGGGCCAGCCCUCAUUCCUCAACCCUCCUUCCCCAACCUCGCAGCAGCAGCCUCCACACUCAAGAAGCCCUCCCUGAUUCCUAAGGUCCCCAGGAAAUGGGGUGUGGUGAGGGCCCAGCCCAGCGCGAAGAACCUGCUCACAGUCUGAACCUCCAAGCUGCCCAGGUGGAGGUAGAGGCAGGUGGGCUGGACCAGCAGACUCUGGAGGGACCGGGACAGGAGCACAGGGGUGUCCUUGCCUCCAUGAGCCACUGGCCUCCCAGGGGAAUUAACGGACAGGGUCAUCUGCCCAGGCUUACACUGUGUUUUGCUAUUUCUUCUCUUCUCUCUCAUUAUAAUCCCACUUCCACGCCACGUUGUCUUGAUCAAUCUCUACGAAUACGGAAGCAAUUGGCCAGUUUGGAAACAAUGCAGACUCCUUCACGCUCUUGCCUGACGUUCACCUCCCUGGACUUGCUGACUUCCUCUACUCUUGGCUCAGCCCCCGGUGGGCUCGUUUUCUUUGCUGUGCUUCUAUAUUAAAAAGUGGGACUGGAGCCAGGAUGGAGAAACCCAUUGGGGAUCUGACUGUUUGCUUCGAGAUGCCCGCCAGCCACCCCCUUUGGUGGAAUCCACAGUGGGCAGAGUGCGAGAAGGCACUUCCCAAAGGGACACGUCACCCUCCAGCCUCCCAGCCCUCUGCCCGAGCGCCCAUCCCCAGGGUGUGUGCAGGGCAGCAUCCUAAGGUGGCUGCUGAGGCAAAUAAAGACUCAUAAAGAAAGGUCAGUGCCCCCACCCACCAGCCCUCAUGCAUAUACCCCGGAACAAGGGCCAUUCGCCACUUGUCAAUAUCACUCCUUAGCCCCAACCUGGGCCCCAGGUGUGUCAUAGGAACAGAGCCGGUGGUGAAGGGGGCCUGUGAUGGGCAGUUCCCACCCCAAGAAAGUUUACAACAUGCAACCUAAGAGAUGAGAUUGACAAACUCAAACCAUUUAGGAACAGAAUAAGAUGUAGGACUAUAAAAGAUGAGGUUCUAGGAACAAGUCCUGCCAGCGUUUGCAGUGACGCAGUGGGCUCCAGGUAGAAUCCUAGAGGUUUGAGAGUAGGCACUGCUGCUAUAGGGGGGAGGGAGGGUGGCUCAGGGAGGGAGGCUGACACCCCACACAGAGUCCCCAAGCACCACUUAACAUGGUAGCUGACCGUGACAAGCUGUGGCUGGGGUGGGCCUGCUCCUCUCAGAGCCACUGGGGGAGGCUGAGGUUUGGGUUUUCUUUGGGGAGAAGCUUAAAUGUCAAGGAGGGUUAUGAGACUGACUUACCUACCAGGAACACCCAGAGGGGCAGGGACUAGAGGGGGACCAGGUGGUGCCAGCACCCAGGGCCCUUUGCUGUGCUGGAGUGGGGAUGGCUGAGGGGAGCCUUCCUGGCUGCAGGAGGAUGAGGAGAUUAGUGGAGACAGUGAUCUCCGGAGUAGCGGAAGAUGGCCCAGCAGAUACUAAGUCUCACGGCCAAUUGCAGGAAACACCCCAACCUCACCUCAAGGGACCCCAGAUGCCCCAGCGUCCCCAAUGAAAGAGCUUGAGUCCCCUCUGAACACCUCCACUGCCACCCCAUGAUCGGCACAAAGGGCAACCCAGAAGGCUCGUUCCUGACACCCUUGUCUGAUCGCUCCAGGACCCCUGGAAUCUUUCCCAGAUGCACCCUGUCCAACGCGGCCCCACUCCACAAGUCUGCAAGGGCCUGGGAGGAAACCAAGAGUGUGCCGCCCAAGAUAAAGGUUUCCGUCUGAUUUUGUGGUUCAGCCGAAGUCGUGUUCUGAAUUGUCCAAAGAAACAGUUUUCAGCCAGGAGGCCAGGAUGUGCCAAAACAUGCCACUUCCAUUCCCAGUGCCAACUGGGUGCUACGAACCCAUUUCCUAAGUCAUAGCCAGAGCUAAACUGCACUCAAUGGGCCGUGAUAGGCAGCAAGGAGGGCUGGCUACCAGCUGGGUGACCCUGGGCUUAAGGACAUGAGGCAGGGCUGGGCAGCAGAAUGUCCCUUGGCAGGGAGAUGGGAGUCCUGCCCUCCCAGCUGCACUGUCAGCCCCCCUGCUGACCUUGCUCAAGAGGCUUCUUCCCACCAGGUCUUGGUGUCUACAUCUGUGAAAUGGGAGAGGAGGGCUAGUGCCAUGCUUCUCAAAGGGUGUUCCCUUUAGCACCAUUAUCAUUUGAGAACUUGUUAGAAACACAAAGCCUGGGAGUCCCUGCGGUGGCUCAGCGGUAACAAACCCGACUACUAUGUAUGAGGAUGCCGGUUUGUACCGGGCCUUGCUCAGUGGGUUGGAGAUCCGGCAUUGCCGUGAGCUGCAAUGUGGACUGGCAGCUAUAGCUCUGAUUCGACCCCUAGCCUGGGAACUUCCAUAUGCUGCAACUGUGAUCCCAAAAAGACCAAAAAAAGAGAGAGAGAGAGAGAGGAAGGAAGAAAGGAAGGAAGGAAGGAAGGAAGGAAGGAAGGAAGGAAGGAAGGAAGGAAGGAAAAGAAAGAAAUGCAAAUCCCCUCCUAAACCCAGAACCCAGAAAUCUGUUUUAAUAAGCCUUCCAGGUGAUUCUGAUGCCAGCUAAAAUUAGGAGACCUGUACAUUUCUGUCCAGCUUUAAUAUUUAAUGAAUCUUACUUCUUUUACUCAAAAGAACUACCUACUUCCCAGGUUAUAUCACACUCCUGAAAGAAGGACCAGCCCUUCCCUUGAGAGAGACAGCGCUCAGCCUUGACCUCAGUUCUAGCCUGGUCUGAAGCUGGCAUCACCAGAGCUCUGGGCUCUGCCUGAACUCAGCCCUUGGUCCUGUUGUGCGCUGGGAUCUGGCCUGGGCUUGGAACUCCGGAUUCUGGGUGUGGCCUGGGAUAUAGCAGCCCAGAGGAGCCAAGUUCAGGCAGCCCCAGUGGCUGUCACAUGGCAACAGAACCUCAUUUCCAGACAGACUACCAGGCCAGCUCCACCAGGAGAUGUGGGGGAGGCAAAGAGCUAAAACGAAGGCUCUGCUAGCUCUAGAGAUCACAGGCAUCCUGGGAAGGAACAAAUUCUACUGCCUCACCGCCAGCCUUUAUAGAAAGAAAAAAGCCCCAAGGAGAGCGCCCCCUACAGGGACACCCGCUGUGAGCAUAUGGUUUCUUUGCAAGGAACUUAAUACUCUCUCAGUCCACGCAGGGCAUUAAGAGACAUUCCUCCCUGGCUUAGAUCUGUCCUGCAGAGACAUCUUCAGGAGUCUGAGGGUCCCAGCAUGAUGGCCUCAACUGAGUGGUCUUGAGGAGCUGGUUUCCAGGGAGACACCAGUUCUGGAACUGGGACAGGCCAGCUCACAAAGCGACUGAGUCUGCAGGCAGGCCCGGAUCCAGAAGGGCCAGGGGACCCAGCCUGUCCUAGAGUGUAGGGGGACCCUGGGAGCUGGGGGCCAGAAAGAGAUGGCACAGGGAGUGCGGACAGGAAUCUGAGACAGAUUCCAGGCCUAAUGGGCCCCCUCAGCCCCUCUCGUACAGGGUGGCCUCAGAGGGGCUGCUCUCUGGUGAGGAUGGGGAGGAGCUGGCAAAGCCAGACCCUUGGUCCAAUCGGAAAUACCUUUCUCCUUGGGCCCCGGGCCACUGCAUGAUGAGGCUUAUUUUCACUGAAACAUGCCUUCCCCCAUAUUUCUGGGGCCUGUUUUAUUAUGGUAACCGUGAGUUCCUAGCACUCAGAGAAGAGGCAAGGCUGGGAGAGGGAGGAGGGUGGGCCUGACACAUCUGUCACUAAUCACAGGGAAAGGCUCAGACCAAAACUCAUUUCGGACCCAGAGCCUCUGGGCCUGUUUUGGGAAAGUUGACUAAUCCCAUAAUCCUACCCAUCAGGCAAUUUUUCUGCCUGGCUUCCAAGUGGGAGUGGGAGAGAGCCCUGGGGGCAACUGUCCCGCUGAGGAAUGUGCGCUCUUAAAGGGGAAAGCCCCCUUCGUUAGGUCUUGCUGGUUCCACAGACAUCUAUGGCAUAGGAGUGUCAGGAGCUGGGCCUUGAUGGCAGUGCCCGUGCCGGGUGGAGGCCAGUCCUGGAAGCAGGGGACAAGGGAAGGGUACAGGGGGCCCUGCAGGACUACGGCCACCUCUCUGGGCCUGCUACUCAGACAUGGGCCUGGCAACUCAACCCGGCCAGGGAGCAUGUAUUAUACGAGCAGAUGCCAGUGGAGCAGACACCUCGCUCCCUGGGCCAGGCCUCUAGAAGGACGGAAAUGUCACAUCCCCCUCCUCCAAGAAUUGCCAUCUCUUCAGUCCAGACAACUCGGGCAGGAGGUGACGAGUGUCCUUAGCUUGUCCACGUGCUGAGGAGACCUCUCCUCAAGGCAGAGACCCUCAAGGCAACGAGCUGGCACCAUGCAGACACCCGCACACCCGUACGCACACACAAGCCCAUACUCGCCACACAGCCCGCAGUGACUCCAGCACUCCAACCUAGCGAUACACUAACUACGCCACUGAAGACCAGUGCCUCCUCCAGUCACAAGGGAGCAAGUUGUGUGCGAACUAGAUUUGUCCCUCUGUCUGCAUUUUCCCUUCGUUGGAUAGGACCAAAAGACACAUGUUCACUUGGUGGGGGUGGAUGAGGAGGUCGAGAUGAAAAUACAUACAUUUUUUUUUAAACCACGUUUGAAAGGGAAGGAAUCCUUUUCAGAUCAUAUAGACAAAAGAAAAUCAUAGUCUCCUGGUCAAACCUCACCAGGGCCCCACAGGGAGACCUCUGCUCCAGUGAAACUCCAAACCACCCCCUCCUGGUCUGCAUCUUCUGUCGAGGUGUGGGAAAGGAGGGGUGCCUCCCAGGGCAAUUCUUUUGUAAGCUUCUUAAAGUCCGCUUCGUCCUGUGAGUGUCCCAUAGUGAUCCUUGAGGCCCCCAGCGCAUGGCGCCCUGGGUCUCUUACAAAGGGAGGAGGACUGAGCGUCCAGCUGGCAAUAAGCAUGCGCUGUCUCUUUAAGAACAUGGCCUGAGAGUUUGUUUGGGUCUCAGUGGGAGGAAAGGAAGAAGAUAAAAGGGGGUUGGGAUUAAUAAUAGACAAAAGAAAAAGAAAAAGAAAAAAAAAAAAAAAAAAAA